rnacentral:rRNA from 1 species
GGUGAACACGGAGCUUGCUCUGUGGGAUCAGUGGCGAACGGGUGAGUAACACGUGAGCAACCUGCCCCUGACUCUGGGAUAAGCGCUGGAAACGGCGUCUAAUACUGGAUAUGUGACGUGACCGCAUGGUCUGCGUCUGGAAAGAAUUUCGGUUGGGGAUGGGCUCGCGGCCUAUCAGCUUGUUGGUGAGGUAAUGGCUCACCAAGGCGUCGACGGGUAGCCGGCCUGAGAGGGUGACCGGCCACACUGGGACUGAGACACGGCCCAGACUCCUACGGGAGGCAGCAGUGGGGAAUAUUGCACAAUGGGCGCAAGCCUGAUGCAGCAACGCCGCGUGAGGGACGACGGCCUUCGGGUUGUAAACCUCUUUUAGCAGGGAAGAAGCGAAAGUGACGGUACCUGCAGAAAAAGCGCCGGCUAACUACGUGCCAGCAGCCGCGGUAAUACGUAGGGCGCAAGCGUUAUCCGGAAUUAUUGGGCGUAAAGAGCUCGUAGGCGGUUUGUCGCGUCUGCUGUGAAAUCCGGAGGCUCAACCUCCGGCCUGCAGUGGGUACGGGCAGACUAGAGUGCGGUAGGGGAGAUUGGAAUUCCUGGUGUAGCGGUGGAAUGCGCAGAUAUCANGAGGAACACCGAUGGCGAAGGCAGAUCUCUGGGGCCGUAACUGACGCUGAGGAGCG